AUUCGAUAUUCUCCUGCUCUUGUAUCAAGUUCACAUCUCAAUGUGUGAACCGUUGGAUUCCUUCGGUGAAAUUGUGUUUUCACCUUAGUUUGACAAAGGAUGCCGGACUGUUCAAUAUGGAAAGCUGGAGUGAGAGGCGUGCUUGGGAGAAUUUAAAGGGGAGCGCUGGGCUAGCUGAGACAGGAGGAGGCAGUGCAGGUGGAGUCCCAGACAGACGGAUGUUGAUGGGCUGGGGGAGGUGGUGGUGAGGGGGUACGACAGACAGGGAAGAAAGAGGAUGCCGAGUGCUUUCCCGCGACUCGCCUCCGAUCCUGCCUGUUCUCUGAUCCCUGCCUUUCUGACCAUCCUGCCUGCCGCCCAGCCCCUGUCGGCCUGUCUGCUCCUCUGCCCCCGACUCCUGAUCCUCCAGCCUGCCUCCCCUGCUUUCGACCCUUCGCCUGCCUGACCUCCCGAUCACCGUAGAGUUUCUGUUGGUCUGUCUGUUCACCUGUUCCCUACUGCCCAUCUGCCCUCCCGUUGCCGACCUCUGCCUGCUGACUACUCUUUGCCUGCCGAUCCUGUAUCUGAAUAAACUCUUGAAACCGU
ensembl:lncRNA